UCUCUUCCUCACCCUCGCAUGGCCGAAAGCAAUGGCUCCUCAAGCCAGAUAAAAUCCGACCGACCACCAUAUUUUGUUGGCCACUCCUCACUCCGUUCACUGCCAACGACAGCCCGAGGGGCCAAACGACUCCCUAAUCGACCUAAACCGCUCGAAACGAUUCUCCUAACCUCUCAUCUUCUCGACUGAAUAAUCCCCAAACCCAUGGACGCCAUUUUCUAACCGUAGAUCGGUGAAGCUCCACCUCUUGACCACCAUCCACGACAAUGGAUCAAACCCAAAGCCGCUCCUAAAACGAACCUGACCGAUCACACCUUCACUCCCGACAAUAGCCCCGACGCUCGGCCAAGAUUUAGUUUUGUUUCAAAAAUUUUAUAAAGCUUAAUCUCAUCUACAACAAAACCCGUACAGAGUAUGGAUGGAACCAACAAGACCCUUUUUGCGUUCGAACUGCCCAGAUUCCGACAAUUGGAGCAACAACUUGACUAGGAUUGUGGUCCCAUUCCGGCAUGAACAAACAAUGUUGCUGUUCUGUAGGCCUUUGACCUAUCUGCCUUUGCUCUUUUCUCAAAUCGAGUAUUGUACAUUUGUACUAGGGAAUAUCUGUAGAUGCUGGGGCGUAAACCAGCCUUUCACUGCCCUCCAUACCAAAAUUUAGGUUCAAAUUGGCCCUUUUAUUUGACUACUUGGUUUCACUGGGUAAUUGUAUUCGGCUUAUUGGAUCAAAUAGGUUAAAUAAGUACCGAAUUAAACGAAGAAGCAUUCAUGUGACAAUGUUAAAGGGACUU